rnacentral:rRNA from 1 species
UGCAGUCGANCGGUAAGGCCCUUCGGGGUACACGAGUGGCGAACGGGUGAGUAACACGUGGGUGAUCUGCCCUGCACUUUGGGAUAAGCCUGGGAAACUGGGUCUAAUACCGAAUAGGACCACGGGAUGCAUGUCCUGUGGUGGAAAGCUUUUGCGGUGUGGGAUGGGCCCGCGGCCUAUCAGCUUGUUGGUGGGGUGAUAGCCCACCAAGGCGACGACGGGUAGCCGGCCUGAGAGGGUGUCCGGCCACACUGGGACUGAGAUACGGCCCAGACUCCUACGGGAGGCAGCAGUGGGGAAUAUUGCACAAUGGGCGCAAGCCUGAUGCAGCGACGCCGCGUGGGGGAUGACGGCCUUCGGGUUGUAAACCUCUUUCACCAUCGACGAAGGUCCGGGGUUCUCGGAUUGACGGUAGGUGGAGAAGAAGCACCGGCCAACUACGUGCCAGCAGCCGCGGUAAUACGUAGGGUGCGAGCGUUGUCCGGAAUUACUGGGCGUAAAGAGCUCGUAGGUGGUUUGUCGCGUUGUUCGUGAAAUCUCACGGCUUAACUGUGAGCGUGCGGGCGAUACGGGCAGACUUGAGUACUGCAGGGGAGACUGGAAUUCCUGGUGUAGCGGUGGAAUGCGCAGAUAUCAGGAGGAACACCGGUGGCGAAGGCGGGUCUCUGGGCAGUAACUGACGCUGANGAGCGAAAGCGUGGGGAGCGAACAGGAUUAGAUACCCUGGUAGUCCACGCCGUAAACGGUGGGUACUANGUGUGGGUUUCCUUCCUUGGGAUCCGUGCCGUAGCUAACGCAUUAAGUACCCCGCCUGGGGAGUACGGCCGCAAGGNUAAAACUCAAAGAAAUUGACGGGGGCCCGCACAAGCGGCGGAGCAUGUGGAUUAAUUCGAUGCAACGCGAAGAACCUUACCUGGGUUUGACAUGCACAGGACGACGGCAGANAUGUCGUUUCCCUUGUGGNCUGUGUGCAGUGGNGCAUGGNUGUCGUCAGCUCNNGUCNUGAGAUGNUNGGNUAANUCCNNCAACNAGCGCAACCCUUGUCUCAUGUUGCAGCCGG